UACGAAGGGCGCAAGCGUUAAUCGGAAUUACUGGGCGUAAAGCGUGCGCAGGCGGUGAUGUAAGACAGGUGUGAAAUCCCCGGGCUUAACCUGGGAACUGCAGUUGUGACUGCAUCGCUGGAGGGCGGCAGAGGGGGAUGGAAUUCCGCGUGUAGCAGUGAAAUGCGUAGAUAUGCGGAGGAACACCGAUGGCGAAGGCAAUCCCCUGGGCCUGCACUGACGCUCAUGCACGAAAGCGUGGGGAGCAAACAGG
rnacentral:rRNA from 1 species